rnacentral:misc_RNA from 1 species
GAAAUGCAAUAAGUAAUGUGAAUUGCAGAAUUCCGUGAAUCAUCGAAUCUUUGAACGCACAUUGCGCCCUCUGGUAUUCCGGGGGGCAUGCCUGUCCGAGCGUCAUUGCGAACCCCUCAAGCACGGCUUGUGUGAUGGGCCCUCCCGCGUCUUGGUCGUCAAGACGGGCCCGAAAUGCAGUGGCGGCUUCGCGGUUAUCCGAUCAGCCAGAGCGUAUGGGGACUUUCUCUCUGUCACACGCCCGCGGCGCGGACCGACGCCUGUCGACCUUUAUUCAUCUUUUUCUCGGUUGACCUCGGAUCAGGUAGGGAUACCCGCUGAACUUAAGC